GGUCAAAGCAACCAGCCAAAUUCCUAUCCCCAAUUCUUUCCCUUUCCUACCCGUCUUCUUCUUCUCUCCUUCUUUCCUUCUCUGCAAAACUACUUCACCUCAUCCCAGAAUUCAAAAUUCAAAAUUUAAAAGUUAAACUCUCUCUCUCUCUCUCUCUUAUUUACCAUGAACGAACACACAAAUGCUAUGACUUUUCAUCUUCAUUUUAGAGUGAUCCAUGGUUGGAUGUUCUUCAAGAACAGGUGUUUUCGGUAGAGAUGGAAUUCCACCACUGAUCGGUGCCUGAUUUGGUGGGGUUAAACCCGUACUGCAGCGACAUAUCAGAUUCCAGUCAAGCCUAGGGUUCCGGCGACCCCUGUUUCAUCUGUUCAAAAACCCUUUUCCCAACGCGUUUUCUUCAUAUCUUUGCUUUUCUUCGUUGUUUUUGACGAUUUCGUUUACAUAUUCGUGUAGAUCGUUCUUUGAUCUACGUUUUGUGUAUGGAUUUUAUGUGUUUUGAUGAAACUUUUGUCAACGAUCAUUGUGGUUCUUUAUUGGUGGUCUUGUGAUGGUUGUGGUGAAGCAUUAGAGAAGAAAAGAAAUUGUUGCUGGGGAAGAGAGUAUGUUGAUACAUUCUGUACUAAAAUUGUGGGUUGUGGGUUGAAUUUUUUAUAAGAAUUUUUUAUGGUAAUUCCAUUAUAACUUGAUACAUUCUGUACUAAACUUGAUGCAAAUAUGUACUAAAACUGUGGGUCUGUUUGUGGUAAAGUGGGUGUUGUUUAAGGGCCUCAAUCAGUUUUCAUUUCACUUUUAUGAUUAUUUGAAUGUUAAGAUUAUUUGAUUUUUGUUAACCUGACAUAGAAUUUGGGUUUGAAGUUCAUUUGAAAUUGAAGUGAUCUAAUUGUUAGUUUAUUUUUUAGUAAUUAGCGCUUAAAUUUUUUAACAUCUGUCUCAUUUACGCGGUGUCUUUUACUCUUCAGAGUAGAGCAAACCCUAAUUUCAUCCACUACCACAUUGGCCACUUGCUGUUCCCCUCUUUUCCUUCACCCGGAACCCUAAAAUUGCUAGCCGCUUUGUUCUUCUUUCGGAUCUUUAUGAUACUGCACAAAUCGGGUUGAAUCUUCGCUUGAUCUCCUAAAAUCAAUGCAUAAAUCUAUCAUGGCUCCUCUUCAAUCGUCAAUUUCUCUUCAAUCAUCAAUUUGGUAUGUUACUUGCCUGCUUUUCAUUUUAGAUGAUCUUUCUUUAUGGUUUUGUAUGGUGGAUCCUUUUGUUGUGAGAGUAGACCCUUUAAUUGAAGAACUUGUGACACAAAAUUAGAGUAAGAAAGGGGUUGACAGGUCGCUUUGUAACACCCUCAUCAAAUCCUUAAUCAGGAUAGUUUGCAGAGAAUGGGAUAGCUGCCCACCGCACUCGGGGGUGACACCAGGAAUUCCGGCACUUGAACUACCCAACCUCAAGUUUGGAGGAAUGCGAGAUAAAGUUUGGACGUCUGAAGGUUUUCCGUAUCCAUACAAAGAAGAUGAAGCUUUCUGAUGAUCUUUCAGGUUUGGUCCUUCACCAACGGGUUUAUGAGGGUUCUUCAACUUUCGGUACGGAGGAAACACAAAGAAGAGGUUGAUACAGCCCGUAUACACAAGGUUCAAGUACAAAAUAAGAUAAACGGAGAAGCCGAAUAAUUUCGGCAGUGGAAAUCAUCACGUGAAAAAGAAGCUAAAUAAUGGAGGAGAAACGAGUAUGAAUGGCACAAAUUCCAGGUUCUUAAUCAAUCCAAAAAAUGAACCUUAGGUGUUUUAAAGGAUUAGAGAAGAGGCUCCACCUGCAACCCAAAAGUUAAAAGACUUGCUAGAAGCCUGGAAGUUUACAAGUACACAGGGAUAUAAUUUUUUUUGACCGAAUAACAUUUUCAGUCCAUGUGGUUCCAGCAACCAAUUUUUAAAGGACAGUGGCGAUAUUUUGUAAUUGAGAUAUGGUGUAUUACAUUGACUAGCAGUGGGGAUGGAGCAAAUGAACAUGUAUACAACUGAAUAUUAAAGGACAAUGGUGAUAUUUUGAUAUAUCCCGACGUUAUCAAAUGUAAUAUGUAAUUUUAUCAACCUAUCAUUAUAUGUGAAUCAUGGUUUUAU
rnacentral:lncRNA from 1 species